rnacentral:rRNA from 1 species
UACGUAGGGUGCAAGCGUUAAUCGGAAUUACUGGGCGUAAAGCGUGCGCAGGCGGUUUUGUAAGUUUGUCGUGAAAGCCCCGGGCUCAACCUGGGAAUUGCGAUGAAGACUGCAAGGCUUGAAUCUGGCAGAGGGGGGUAGAAUUCCACGUGUAGCAGUGAAAUGCGUAGAGAUGUGGAGGAACACCGAUGGCGAACGGCAGCCCCCUGGGUCAAGAUUGACGCUCAUGCACGAAAGCGUGGGGAGCAAACAGG